GAUGAACGCUAGCGGCAGGCUUAAUACAUGCAAGUCGAGGGGCAGCACGGGUAGCAAUACUUGGUGGCGACCGGCGCACGGGUGCGUAACACGUAUACAACCUACCUAGAACAGGGGGAUAGCCUUUCGAAAGAGAGAUUAGUACCCCGUAAUAAGUUGAAUGGCAUCAUUUGACUUUGAAAGUUCCGACGGUUAUAGAUGGGUAUGCGUUUGAUUAGCUAGUUGGUGGUGUAAUGGACCACCAAGGCGACGAUCAAUAGGGGAUCUGAGAGGACUAACCCCCACACUGGUACUGAGGCACGGACCAGGCUCCUACGGGAGGCAGCAGUAAGGAAUAUUGGACAAUGGUCGCAAGACUGAUCCAGCCAUGCCGCGUGCAGGAAGAAGCAUCUAUGGUGUGUAAACUGCUUUUGUACGGGAAGAAACACCCCUUCGUGAAGGGACUUGACGGUACCGUAAGAAUAAGGAUCGGCUAACUCCGUGCCAGCCGCCGCGGUAAAAC
rnacentral:rRNA from 1 species